rnacentral:rRNA from 1 species
UACGGGGGGGGCAAGCGUUGUUCGGAAUUACUGGGCGUAAAGGGCUCGUAGGCGGCCAACUAAGUCGGAUGUGAAAGCCCGGGGCUUAACCCCGGGUCUGCAUUCGAUACGGGCUAGCUAGAGUGUGGUAGGGGAGAUCGGAAUUCCUGGUGUAGCGGUGAAAUGCGCAGAUAUCAGGAGGAACACCGGUGGCGAAGGCGGAUCUCUGGGCCAUUACUGACGCUGAGGAGCGAAAGCGUGGGGAGCGAACAGG